GAUGAACGCUGGCGGCGUGCCUAAUACAUGCAAGUCGAGCGAACGGACGAGAAGCUUGCUUUUCUGAUUUUAGCGGCGGACGGGUGAGUAACACGUGGAUAACCUACCUAUAAGACUGGGAUAACUUCGGGAAACCGGAGCUAAUACCGGAUAAUAUUUUGAACCGCAGGGUUCAAAAGUGAAAGACGGUCUUGCUGUCACUUAUAGAUGGAUCCGCGCUGCAUUAGCUAGUUGGUAAGGUAACGGCUUACCAAGGCAACGAUGCAUAGCCGACCUGAGAGGGUGAUCGGCCACACUGGAACUGAGACACGGUCCAGACUCCUACGGGAGGCAGCAGUAGGGAAUCUUCCGCAAUGGGCGAAAGCCUGACGGAGCAACGCCGCGUGAGUGAUGAAGGUCUUCGGAUCGUAAAACUCUGUUAUUAGGGAAGAACAUAUGUGUAAGUAACUGUGCACAUCUUGACGGUACCUAAUCAGAAAGCCACGGCUAACUACGUG
rnacentral:rRNA from 1 species